rnacentral:rRNA from 1 species
GCGCACGCUGGCGGCCGGCCUAACACAUGCAAGUCGAACGAACUCUUCGGAGUUAGUGGCGGACGGGUGAGUCACACGUGGGAACGUGCCUUUUGGUUCGGAAUAACUCAGGGAAACUUGUGCUAAUACCGAAUGUGCCCUUCGGGGGAAAGAUUUAUCGCCAUUAGAGCGGCCCGCGUCUGAUUAGCUAGUUGGUGAGGUAACGGCUCACCAAGGCGACGAUCAGUAGCUGGUCUGAGAGGAUGACCAGCCACACUGGGACUGAGACACGGCCCAGACUCCUACGGGAGGCAGCAGUGGGGAAUCUUGCGCAAUGGGCGAAAGCCUGACGCAGCCAUGCCGCGUGAAUGAUGAAGGUCUUAGGAUUGUAAAAUUCUUUCACCGGGGACGAUAAUGACGGUACCCGGAGAAGAAGCCCCGGCUAACUUCGUG